rnacentral:lncRNA from 1 species
GAGCGGUACGAGUCGCUUGUGUCUGUGAAUGGCUUGCAGCAUUCCUGCCGGCUGUGCCCUUACCAGACCAAGAGGAAGUCCGACAUGAACAAACACAUACGUACACACUCAGGCGAAUGUCCCUUCAUGUGCCACCUGUGCCCGGAAGCAUUCCCUCAGGCUACCAACCUGACACGCCAUCUGCGCUGCCACACCGGAGACCGUUCCUUUUCCUGUGUGCACUGUGGUGCAUCGUUUAGGCAGAAGCGCCACCUGUCCAGCCACAUGUUCUGUCAUGCAGGGAAGAAGCCCUAAAGAUGCGUCGAUUCCUUCUACAGUGCAUUCAAGAUGAUGCGUGCUUUGGACUUCACCAGAAAUUCAUCUCACGAGCUUCUCGGAAAGCAUCUACCUGUUUGCCGUGUUACUUGACAUAGCAGUUUGAUUUAUUGUUGAUUGAACAGUGUUAUCUGUUGGCAAAUAAGCGCGAGAGUAAAUAAACAACUCGAGGAAUUGUUGUACAGGCACUACAUUCUUUCAAUUGCAGCAUCCUUAAAAAAUUGAUUAAACACUGUGAUGGUGAUGUAACUGUGUUUGUUUCAUGUGAAAUUUCCAUUCUUCCUUCUGCCCUGUUUGUCUCUUGGAAUCCUGAAAGAAAUGAACGGGUUCUAUUGCAGUCACCAAGUUGUAAUCAUUGGCGUA